AGAGUUUGAUCCUGGCUCAGGAUAAACGCUGGCGGCGCACAUAAGACAUGCAAGUCGAACGAACUUAAUUGAGAGCUUGCUCUCAAAGCGGUUAGUGGCGGACUGGUGAGUAACACGUAAGCAACCUGCCUAUUAGAGGGGAAUAACAGCGAGAAAUCGUUGCUAAUACCGCAUAUGCUGUGAGUAUCGCAUGAUACAAGCAGGAAAGGAGCAAUCCGCUAAUAGAUGGGCUUGCGUCUGAUUAGUUAGUUGGUGGGGUAACGGCCUACCAAGACGAUGAUCAGUAGCCGGACUGAGAGGUUGAACGGCCACAUUGGGACUGAGAUACGGCCCAGACUCCUACGGGAGGCAGCAGUCGGGAAUAUUGCGCAAUGGAGGAAACUCUGACGCAGUGACGCCGCGUGCAGGAAGAAGGUUUUCGGAUUGUAAACUGCUUUUAACAGGAAAGAAAAAAAUGACGGUACCUGUUGAAUAAGCUCCGGCUAACUACGUGCCAGCAGCCGCGGUAAUACGUAGGGAGCGAGCGUUAUCCGGAUUUAUUGGGUGUAAAGGGUGCGUAGACGGAAAUGCAAGUUAGUUGUGAAAUACCUCGGCUUAACUGAGGAACUGCAACUAAAACUAUAUUUCUUGAGUAUCGGAGGGGUUUGUGGAAUUCCUAGUGUAGCGGUGAAAUGCGUAGAUAUUAGGAAGAACACCGGUGGCGAAGGCGGCCUGCUGGACGAAAACUGACGUUGAGGCUCGAAGGCGUGGGGAGCAAACAGGAUUAGAUACCCUGGUAGUCCACGCGGUAAACGAUGAAUACUAGGUGUUGGUGCCCGAAGGGCAUCGGUGCCGUCGCAAACGCAAUAAGUAUUCCACCUGGGGAGUACGUUCGCAAGAAUGAAACUCAAAGGAAUUGACGGGGACCCGCACAAGCGGUGGAGCAUGUGGUUUAA
rnacentral:rRNA from 1 species